AGGUCCCCCAGGUAGCCUAAGAUUCCUGGAAGUCACCUCCUGACUCCCCUGUGAGUCUGGGCACCCUGUGCAGCCAGGUGUCAGGACAGUUUUUCCAAGAGGAGCUUGUAAGCACUGGCUCCAUAAAUCAGCCUUAUUUUGGAAAGUGUCUGGUCAUAUCUGACUAAAUAAGCAUCCUCCUCCUACAGGUAUCCCAGGCAAGACUUUGACUGUCUUACCAUUGUUUCUAAUGCUGUCCUGUUAACAAGGAGGACAGACUGUCUAUGCAAAUUAUGCAAAUCAGUGUCUUGCCAUGGAAAUAAUAACUCUCAGUAAGACUCUCUUAAUUUUGAGAGAGAGAGAGAGUCAGGGAGGAAGAGGGAGAAGUUUCACUUCUGUUUACAAGAAAUGAGCACAGUCUAUGGAGUUAUUUUGAGUGAUAGAUUGCUAAAGAGAAAAGAGAAAGGGAUUCCUUAUGUCCAGAAAAUAGAGCAUGAAAACAACAGCACUAUUCCAAAGAAAGACCACAAUCAUCCAGCAAGCCAUCUGCAGAGGAAAAAAGACUUAAAACGGCUGUGGCUGACAUAAUUUUGCUAAUUUUCAGAAGUAGAAGGUCUGAUGAAAGUUAACUACAAAAAUAAUGCCAUCGACAGGAAAAAUUUGGUUGUUUAUGUGGCACUUAAAGUCAAUUCAAAAAGUUUUAGAUAAAAUAUGCAUAUACAUAAAGAUUAAUUCUAUUUUCAAAAAAGAGUGGGUAUUGCAUCUAAAUUAUGAAAAUGGAUGGGAAUAAUUUUUACAGAGAAAGCCACUUAAGAUGCAUAAGACAUGAUAUGCCAUGAAUAUAUCAAGCAUAUAGAAUGAACAUAGCAAGAAUAUAUCUAGAUUAUUAAACAGGGAGAUUUUCUGUAUUUGUGUAAGUUUAGGAAGAAAAUGCUCAAAUGGAAUAAAAAUGAAUUUUGGCAAUUCUGACAGCUCACAAGACAUACUGGAGGCAUGAAGUCAACAAUAUCUAAUUACUCUCAUUGGACAAAGAUUCAUUUAUUUAAUGUGUUGAAUUUUGAAAACAUUUGGGUAAGUUUUUAUAAGAGUAUUUUUCCACAUUGAUCAUUUCAGAAAUUUCCUUAAUUUCUUUGAAAUUCAGGAAUAUUUAAUUUGUAUCUGUUAUUUAUCUUUAACCCAACCCAAAAGGAACUUUUUAAAGGGAUUUUAUAAUUAAAUGUGGUAAUAGUCACCUGGAGGUUGGAAAUAUUACAGAUAUAAUGUGUGUGUGUACACACAUAUACAAGUAAUGCACAGGCAGACCUAC
rnacentral:lncRNA from 1 species